UACGUAGGGGGCUAGCGUUGUCCGGAAUCAUUGGGCGUAAAGAGCGUGUAGGCGGUCCGGUAAGUCCGUUGUGAAAGUCAGGGGCUCAACCCUUGAAUGCCGGCGGAUACUGUCGGGCUAGAGUCCGGAAGAGGCGAGUGGAAUUCCCGGUGUAGCGGUGAAAUUCGUAGAUAUUCGGAAGAACACCAGUGGCGAAGGCGGCUCACUGGUCCGGUACUGACGCUGAGGUGCGAAAGCGUGGGGAGCAAACAGG
rnacentral:rRNA from 1 species